rnacentral:lncRNA from 1 species
UUUUUUUUUGUUUUUUUCCGACUUUUUUUUUGGAAUUUUUUUUUUUUUGGGAAUUUUUUUUUCCUUUUUAGAAUUUUUUUCCCCAUUUUUUUUCCAGGCAUAUUUUUUUUUUUUGGGAAUUCUUUUUUUGGGAAUUUUUCCUUUUCCAGGAAUUUUUUUUCCCAUCCUUUUCUCCCAAUUUUUUUUCCUGUGAAUUUUUUUUCCUGGGAUUUUUUAUUCCUGGGAUUUUUUAUUUCUGGGAUUUUUUUCCUUCUGGGAAUUUUUCUUUUUCCAGAUUUUUUAUUUCCAGGACUUUUGUUUUUCCCCAUUUUUUCUCCAAUUUUUUUUCCUGUGAAUUUUUAUUUCUGGGAUUUUUUUUCUGGGAAUCUUUCCAGGAAUUUUUUUUCCAGAUUUUUUUUCCCAUUUUUUCCCCCAUUUUUUUUCCUUUUCCAGGCAUUUUUUCCCAGGAAUUUUUCCCAUUUUUCCCCCAUUUCCUUUCCCCCCCAAAUUUUUUAUUUUAUUUUUUUUUUCCUUUUCCAGGCAUUUUUUUUUCUGGGAAUUUUUUCUCCGGGAUUUUUUUUUAUACACAAUUUUCCUCCACCCUGUUUCCUUUUCUUCCAAGAAUUCCACGUUUUUCCCGAGAAUUCCUCCUUUUUUCCUGGGAAUUCCAUGUUUUUUCCUAGGAAUUUCAGUUUUUUCCUGGGAAUUUUGUGGUUUUUUCCAAAAAUUCCACAUUUUUCCCAAAAAUUCUGCGUCUUUUCCUGAGAAAUCU